rnacentral:rRNA from 1 species
AUACCGGAUAAUAUUUUGAACCGCAUGGUUCAAAAGUGAAAGACGGUCUUGCUGUCACUUAUAGAUGGAUCCGCGCUGCAUUAGCUAGUUGGUAAGGUAACGGCUUACCAAGGCAACGAUGCAUAGCCGACCUGAGAGGGUGAUCGGCCACACUGGAACUGAGACACGGUCCAGACUCCUACGGGAGGCAGCAGUAGGGAAUCUUCCGCAAUGGGCGAAAGCCUGACGGAGCAACGCCGCGUGAGUGAUGAAGGUCUUCGGAUCGUAAAACUCUGUUAUUAGGGAAGAACAUAUGUGUAAGUAACUGUGCACAUCUUGACGGUACCUAAUCAGAAAGCCACGGCUAACUACGUGCCAGCAGCCGCGGUAAUACGUAGGUGGCAAGCGUUAUCCGGAAUUAUUGGGCGUAAAGCGCGCGUAGGCGGUUUUUUAAGUCUGAUGUGAAAGCCCACGGCUCAACCGUGGAGGGUCAUUGGAAACUGGAAAACUUGAGUGCAGAAGAGGAAAGUGGAAUUCCAUGUGUAGCGGUGAAAUGCGCAGAGAUAUGGAGGAACAUCAGUGGCGAAGGCGACUUUCUGGUCUGUAACUGACGCUGAUGUGCGAAAGCGUGGGGAUCAAACAGGAUUAGAUACCCUGGUAGUCCACGCCGUAAACGAUGAGUGCUAAGUGUUAGGGGGUUUCCGCCCCUUAGUGCUGCAGCUAACGCAUUAAGCACUCCGCCUGGGGAGUACGACCGCAAGGUUGAAACUCAAAGGAAUUGACGGGGACCCGCACAAGCGGUGGAGCAUGUGGUUUAAUUCGAAGCAACGCGAAGAACCUUACCAAAUCUUGACAUCCUUUGACAACUCUAGAGAUAGAGCUUUCCCCUUCGGGGGACAAAGUGACAGGUGGUGCAUGGUUGUCGUCAGCUCGUGUCGUGAGAUGUUGGGUUAAGUCCCGCAACGAGCGCAACCCUUAAGCUUAGUUGCCAUCAUUAAGUUGGGCACUCUAAGUUGACUGCCGGUGACAAACCGGAGGAAGGUGGGGAUGACGUCAAAUCAUCAUGCCCCUUAUGAUUUGGGCUACACACGUGCUACAAUGGACAAUACAAAGGGCAGCGAAACCGCGAGGUCAAGCAAAUCCCAUAAAGUUGUUCUCAGUUCGGAUUGUAGUCUGCAACUCGACUACAUGAAGCUGGAAUCGCUAGUAAUCGUAGAUCAGCAUGCUACGGUGAAUACGUUCCCGGGUCUUGUACACACCGCCCGUCACACCACGAGAGUUUGUAACACCCGAAGCCGGUGGAGUAACCUUUUAGGAGCUAGCCGUCGAAGGUGGGACAAAUGAUUGGGGUGAAGUCGUAACAAGGUAGCCGUAUCGGAAGGUGCGGCUGGAUCACCUCCUUU